GAUGAACGCUGGCGGCGUGCCUAAUACAUGCAAGUCGAGCGAACGGACGAGAAGCUUGCUUCUCUGAUGUUAGCGGCGGACGGGUGAGUAACACGUGGAUAACCUACCUAUAGGACUGGGAUAACUUCGGGAAACCGGAGCUAAUACCGGAUAAUAUUUUGAACCGCAUGGUUCAAAAGUGAAAGACGGUCUUGCUGUCACUUAUAGAUGGAUCCGCGCUGCAUUAGCUAGUUGGUAAGGUAACGGCUUACCAAGGCAACGAUGCAUAGCCGACCUGAGAGGGUGAUCGGCCACACUGGAACUGAGACACGGUCCAGACUCCUACGGGAGGCAGCAGUAGGGAAUCUUCCGCAAUGGGCGAAAGCCUGACGGAGCAACGCCGCGUGAGUGAUGAAGGUCUUCGGAUCGUAAAACUCUGUUAUUAGGGAAGAACAUAUGUGUAAGUAACUGUGCACAUCUUGACGGUACCUAAUCAGAAAGCCACGGCUAACUACGUGCCAGCAGCCGCGGUAAUACGUAGGUGGCAAGCGUUAUCCGGAAUUAUUGGGCGUAAAGCGCGCGUAGGCGGUUUUUUAAGUCUGAUGUGAAAGCCCACGGCUCAACCGUGGAGGGUCAUUGGAAACUGGAAAACUUGAGUGCAGAAGAGGAAAGUGGAAUUCCAUGUGUAGCGGUGAAAUGCGCAGAGAUAUGGAGGAACACCAGUGGCGAAGGCGACUUUCUGGUCUGUAACUGACGCUGAUGUGCGAAAGCGUGGGGAUCAAACAGGAUUAGAUACCCUGGUAGUCCACGCCGUAAACGAUGAGUGCUAAGUGUUAGGGGGUUUCCGCCCCUUAGUGCUGCAGCUAACGCAUUAAGCACUCCGCCUGGGGAGUACGACCGCAAGGUUGAAACUCAAAGGAAUUGACGGGGACCCGCACAAGCGGUGGAGCAUGUGGUUUAAUUCGAAGCAACGCGAAGAACCUUACCAAAUCUUGACAUCCUUUGACAACUCUAGAGAUAGAGCCUUCCCCUUCGGGGGACAAAGUGACAGGUGGUGCAUGGUUGUCGUCAGCUCGUGUCGUGAGAUGUUGGGUUAAGUCCCGCAACGAGCGCAACCCUUAAGCUUAGUUGCCAUCAUUAAGUUGGGCACUCUAAGUUGACUGCCGGUGACAAACCGGAGGAAGGUGGGGAUGACGUCAAAUCAUCAUGCCCCUUAUGAUUUGGGCUACACACGUGCUACAAUGGACAAUACAAAGGGCAGCGAAACCGCGAGGUCAAGCAAAUCCCAUAAAGUUGUUCUCAGUUCGGAUUGUAGUCUGCAACUCGACUACAUGAAGCUGGAAUCGCUAGUAAUCGUAGAUCAGCAUGCUACGGUGGAUACGUUCCCGGGUCU
rnacentral:rRNA from 1 species